GGACAGUUAAAAAAAUAGAAAAAAAAAGGGAUCGCUGUCCCAGAUAAGUACAGCCAAGAUGACUCAGACAGUCUUCCAGGGGAUUUUUGGUGUAGAGACUUAAAAUUAAUAAACCCGCUGUUAGUUUUGUGGAAUCCAAGGGGUUGGGCAACCUCUUUCAAGAACACUGCUUGAUUUCAUGAUUCCAGGGGGCGAGCGGUUGCUAUUUAUUUCUGCAGAAGUAAGAACACCUCUGUGGACCUCUUAGUCGCUUUGAGAAUGAUUGGAGGCCUUCUGGACAUACUUGGGUCCUGGAUAAACACGUAGGGUCGCUUUACUGACCCUAAAUCCAACUCUUGGCCCGAUUUAUGCGACUUUCUGACUUGAUCGGAAAGCGUGGUGGGUCUCUGCUCCAGGGGGAAGCAGGAGGAAUCUAGUCUAGAUGUGAGAAGACAGAGGCUGCGGGGAUGAGGGCUUUUCAGGAUCCAGACAUGGGGGUGGGAAAGGCAGGAACUUGUCUUCCCGCCCUCUGAGGCCCAGGGGUUCCGGGAGAGAUCCCGGAGGGAAGUGCCGCGGCGGGGACUGCAGCUGACAGCCCUGGGCGCCGCGGCCGGCUUCCCCACGCGGGGCAGGGAGCGCGCGCGGCUGUGCGCGAGCGGCGGGCGGCGGCGGGCGGAGGCGCAGGCGCGCUGCUCGCCCGUCUGCAGCCCCGCGCCGAGCGCCGCGUCUCGGGGAGUUGAUGGCAGCACCACAGUGCGGCCGCCGGGCCGAGCGCCGAGCGCAGCCACCCGCCGCCGCUCAGAGUGCUUCCAAGAUGCUGGGCGAUUGGGGCGGCAGCGGUCGCAGCAGCGCCAGGGACGGGGGCGCGCAGGAGCCUCCGCUUGCCCGCCUCCGCUGACCUGCCUCGUUUGGCCCCAAAGAAUGUCCUCCAAGUCCAAGGGGACCCCCUCCUCGUCCUCUCUCGCCGAGGGACCGCCGGCAGGCUCCAAGACCAAGGUGAAGGAACAGAUCAAGAUCAUCGUGGAGGAUUUGGAGUUAGUCCUGGGCGACCUGAAGGACGUGGCCAAGGAACUUAAGGAGGUGGUUGACCAGAUUGAUACCCUGACCUCUGACCUACAGCUGGAGGAUGAGAUGACCGACAGCUCCAAAACGGACACCCUGAAUAGUAGCUCAAGCAGCACGACAGCCUCCAGCCUAGAGAAGAUCAAAGUGCAGGCCAAUGCACCGCUCAUUAAACCCCCAGCACACCCAUCUGCGAUCCUCACGGUCCUGAGAAAGCCAAACCCUCCGCCGCCUCCUCCGCGGUUGACGCCCGUGAAGAGUGAAGACCCCCAAAGGGUGGCGCCCGCUGUCAAUCCUGUAAAGACCAAUGGCACCCUUCUGCGGAAUGGUGGCUUACCAGGAGCACCAAACAAAAUCCCCAAUGGAGACAUCUGCUGCACACCCGGUAGCAACUCGGACAAGGCGUCCGUGCAGCCUCUGAUGCAUAGACCUGAAAAAGACAGGUGUCCCCAGGCAGGGCCUCGGGAAAGGGUUCGGUUUAAUGAAAAAGUGCAGUACCAUGGCUAUUGUCCUGACUGUGAGACCCGGUAUAACAUAAAAAACCGGGAGGUCCAUUUGCACAGUGAACCUGCCCAGCCGCCAGGAAAGCUUCCUCCCCAAGGCCCUCCCCGCCCUCCUCCACCGCAUCUCCCUCCAGUGCCACUGGGAAAUGGGGGGCCGGGAAUAAGCCACAGUAACAGCUACCCGCCUCCCAGACCUGCAACUGUGCCUCCUCCCACUGCGCCAAAACCACAGAAGACGAUCUUGAGGAAAUCAACCACUACAACAGUGUGAUGUAUGCCAUUUAAAAACACUUUUUAUUUUAUUUUCAUUUUUAUAUUAUAAACAUAAUAAGUAAUGCGCACUUUCUACUCAAGCAAUAAAAAGCCCAAAUAUAUUAAUCCUGCAUUCAGCAAAGUGGCAUAAAAAUCACCUGCUCCUUCAGAUUGGAAGGAAAUCUUUAUUUGGAGGCAUGUCAGCUCAUUUUUCUCACUUCAGAUUCAUCAUUAUGACUUCUUGAGGCCAGAUGUAAUUUUGAAAUAACCAGGAACUUGUCCAUCUCAGAGCAGCAAAUUCCCUCAACUUUGGAGCACAAGUGAUUACUGAUAUGGUCUGCAUAAAAUCAUCUGCCUCUAGUCUGACAGCCAUGAGCAGAGCCCUAGGGGUGAAAAAAAGCCACAGCCUUAAAUCUCUUCACUCAGAAAUUAUCAAGAAGAUUUAAUAUAUAUAUGAAAAGGACUAAACAAUUCAGCCAACAAAAAACAGAAACCAAACAAAACUCAUUUUCCUUCACCAUGAAAAUAAAUAUUUCCAGAUGUGAACCCAUGAAAAUGUAUAUUCGGCAGUUAAGCUAGUAAAUUAUUAUCAAUUGAUUUAUCAUUUGGGAAGGUAAAAUAGAGAUAGGAAAUAUCUCUAGUCAGAAUUACUCAGCAUUUCAAAAUAAAUAUGUAGACAAAAAUAAACUGAACAAACAGAGGAGCAUUGCGGCAAUGAACAGUAGUAUUAGGACAGAAUGUUGCUGUUUGCAGAGAGGAUGUUUGCCAUCUUGUGUAUACCCUUAAAGCCAUAAUGGAAUAACAGCAUUAUUGUCAAUUGCUUGAAAUGUUUCUGCAUUCAGUCCUUCACUCCAUAUUGUUUGAGAGAGGGGGGAAGUCAGUCUUACUGAUUAUUUCUCAAUGCACUUCUAAUAUUUGCACUGUCACUUCCAUUCAGGGUAAUGAUGUGUGCUGUUAUUUGCACAGAUGGUCCCAUGAGUUUUGAGACCACAACAAGCAGUUUCUUGUAGGAGUCCAAAAAGGAAACACUUAAGAGUUCUGCAGACAUUGCUUUCUCUUCUAUAAAAAUCAGUUACCUAAAAAAAAAAAAAAGAUUUGUCUCAGAUUAAAAUAAUAAGUAUAGAAUAAUAACAAAAAAGCAUCAGUGUGGUCAAAUGAAUGAAAAAGGGAUCAAAUUUUUUAAUGAAAUCAUUUUAUAUCAUUAACAGCCAAGAAGUCAAAUACAGUGAACUGUACACUAAACAUUUGUGUUGAACAUCUAUUUGUUCUCUGAAUUUAAAAAAAUCAUUUGUAAUUUGUAUUUGACAUAUAAUAACAGUUUUUUAUAGCCAUUUAUCUAUGCUUCAUGGGAUAAUGUACCAAACAGCAUUUUCAGUUUAUUUUUCUAAAUAAAUGUGUUGUUUGUAUUAUUUGUA